CCUAUUGCUACAUCGACCAUAGACUCCGCUUGACCAAGGGGAAUGGAGCCCGGUCGGUAUCAAUAGUCUUCCAUGAUAGUGUCAGCCAGACCCACAAAAUCUCUAUCCUCUCUUUCUCUAGGUCUCUGCAUGGGUGUAUAGUAUCUGUCUCCUUGAACACUUCCUCUACUAGUCCCACCAUUCCCUCUAAAACUUCCUCUUCCUCUAUAACUACCACUAUAACCUCCUAGUACCCUUCUCUCUCCUUGUCU